rnacentral:siRNA from 1 species
ACGCAUCAUUCAAAUUUCUGC